GGACCGCCGCCGGCUCGGCUCCUCCACCAUGAAGCAACCUCCUUCCACCCCGUAGCCACCGCCCAAAACCCUAGCAAUCGAGCCCCACCCAUGGCGCCCUAGGUGGUACAGCGGCCAGAGGAGAGGAAAGGAGGUGGAGCAGCCAUCGCUUGGACGUGAGCAGCAUCUUGUGCAUGCAUCCAUUGAGGACGUGAGGUGCACACCACAUUUUGGUUCAGUUUUCCCCUUCUUUAGUAUAAUUAUGCCAAGGACAUCUUAUGCCUUACAGUAGUAUUCAGAUUCUCAAGUUUGUUUAUUUAUUUUUAGUGCAAUACUGCUCUACUGUCUGCAGGAGAUUGGUGGACAAAAUAUCAGAAAUCGGAAACAUGACGUUUUGGUUUAGUUCUGGAUCAUUUUCUUUUUUGGUUCAGUUUAUAUAAGUGGUUGUUGUUUUAUGUUGCUGCUAGCCAUCAAAAAACGAGUUCACAGUAGGUUUCCAUCCUUACAAUUCAUUUUGUGUUGCUCUGAACUAAAAAAAGAGGGAAUACUGUUGUGCCUAGCUUGAAGUUCAAAGUAGGUUUGGCAUCAAUCGAGCAAACAUUGUUACAGUUAUUAGUGGCUGUUGUAUGUAUUACAUUUUUGCUUUUUCUAAAACCACAUGUAUCCUAUAAUCUGAUUGCUUUUCUUUGUGUGAGCAGCAGUUUCUGAGCUUUCCCUCCACUAUUUUU